GAUGAACGCUGGCGGCGUGCUUAACACAUGCAAGUCGAGCGAUGAAGUUUCCUUCGGGAAAUGGAUUAGCGGCGGACGGGUGAGUAACACGUGGGUAACCCGCCUCAUAGAGUGGAAUAGCCUUUCGAAAGGAAGAUUAAUACCGCAUAAUGUUGAAAGAUGGCAUCAUCAUUCAACCAAAGGAGCAAUCCGCUAUGAGAUGGACCCGCGGCGCAUUAGCUAGUUGGUGGGGUAACGGCCUACCAAGGCGACGAUGCGUAGCCGACCUGAGAGGGUGAUCGGCCACAUUGGGACUGAGACACGGCCCAGACUCCUACGGGAGGCAGCAGUGGGGAAUAUUGCACAAUGGGGGAAACCCUGAUGCAGCAACGCCGCGUGAGUGAUGAAGGUUUUCGGAUCGUAAAGCUCUGUCUUUGGGGAAGAUAAUGACGGUACCCAAGGAGGAAGCCACGGCUAACUACGUGCCAGCCGCCGCAGUAAAAC
rnacentral:rRNA from 1 species